GAGCCAUCUAAGGUGGUGCUUUGAUUCUUACAACUAUGGAUGGUGAAGAGUUCACUCGUCCUAUGAACGCAGAUGCAGUCAAGAAAUACUUUGCCUAAAAAAAUGAUAAAAAAAUAAAAAGAACAACUCGCUAAGUUGAAAACCCGAAAGGGCGGCUUAGGCAAAAAAGAGCGUUUCGGUGGAUUGAAAACCCGAAAGGGCAGUCCAGGAAAAAGUUAGAGACAUAAAA
rnacentral:lncRNA from 1 species